rnacentral:misc_RNA from 1 species
UUGAGAAGGGUAACAGCAGCUCUCCCAGAAAGCCAUCCUGAUGAUGAGCAAUCUUGCCUUCUAUUUUAAGAUGGAGAUCGAGGAAGAAGAAACAGCAAGACUAGAUGGAAUUCAGAGGCAUAAGAGACUUAGCUAGUAUAAUAAAGACUUCAAUUUCUUGAGAAGGUGUAAUGAUGAGUUAUGAGAAGAUUGGGGUCUACUGUAUCAAUUGGGUUGCAAGUCUGAGGUAACAUUAAUCUUUCUGGAACUGGUUUUUCCUGUCUUCUCCCAUGAAACUUAUAAUUUCCCUUUUUCUUUUUAAGUGAAGUAAUCAUAUUUGUAAUAUCUUAGCUUGUGCUUUGGAAUUUAGAAAAAAUAUACUUUCUAAGGUAAUUGCAUCUACCAG